rnacentral:lncRNA from 1 species
CCGAAGUCCACUUUUUUAACGGCUUCAGAAAUGUGUCCCAGGAAUCCCGCCCGCCCAGCCCUCUGGGGGCGCCUGUGGGCUCUGCCGACAUGAGCCAUCGCGGUCUAGCCUGGGCCGGCAGGGCAGAGGGAAGGAGGAUUUCUCCAGGAAAAGAGAAGAAAACACCUGAACAGCUUCUGAAAAUAGCUGCUUGGGUAGUUAUGAGACAGCUAUUGAAAUAAGUGCUUUCUCCCGUCUCUCCUGAACAUAAAGACGUGUGGUCGAGGUCUUGAAUCUUCUUGGAUCAGACAGCCGAGAGUCGUGCCCUAGAGGACCCAACCCAGGACCCCACGUGGUCUCGCUGUUGCGCCUUCUCGGUCUCCUUCGGUCCAUGGCAGCUCAUCUCUUC